UGUUUGGGCUAUGUACAGGUGCAGUGAUCUGUGAGCUACACUGACAGCUGGUGAGGGAGAUAAGUGUUUCCAGUUUCAGAGAUUUUUGUAGUUUGUUCCAGUCAUUGGCAGCAGAGAACUGGGUUCUCCUGACCUGGGCUGGGACACAGACCAGUUCCCCAUGGACAUCAGGAACACCAGCAUGAUCAUGAAGAUGACAUAGGAGAUAAUACUGUGAUAGAACAGGGUGGUCUGCAGCCGGGGGGUCUGAACUUCGAUGCUAAGGUGCGUAGGGAGUCCACAGACCUGGAGGACCUGUUCAUAGCCCACGUCAGAGCCAUGGACGCCUUCGCACGCGGCCUGAGGAACGCGGUCAGGUUCAUAGAGGAAGGGGUUAUGACCAGCAUGGUCAAGGAGCUCUACAUGAGCUUCAGCCAUGGGAUUGGUCAGAAAGUAGAGGAUGGCAGCGCCUCAUUGGAGGAGCUGGAGGACUUUGUCAAGCAAAAUGAGCAGCCGAAAGUCACAUCAGGAGAAAUUAGAAACAGUCUUUAACCACUACCUGUGAAGACAUGUGGUGAAGACUUGUUUGACCAUGACACCCCUUGUCCUGCGUGUUAUUGUGUCCAUCCAGACCUCUCAUAAUCAUAUUCAUACACAGUGUUAAUAGUUUCAUGUGACUAACUACUAUUACAGUUAUAGUAUAAAUAAUUAAUCAGUG